CCGCCCCCGCGGACCCCGAGCUGACAUACUGGCGCGGCGACGCGCGCGCCAAGGUGUGGGUGAGCGCCGCCGGACCCGCGGAGCGCAUGCCGAUGUGGUGCCCGCCGACCCCGCCCUCCAGCGACGGCGACGUGUACUGCGACACCUGGGCGCGACCGCUCUACCGGCGCGGCGCCGCGGCCG